rnacentral:rRNA from 1 species
GGCGAGUGAAGCGGGAAGAGCUCAAAUUUGAAAUCUGGCGGCCUUUGGUCGUCCGAGUUGUAGUCUGGAGAAGCGUCUUCCGCGCCGGACCGUGUACAAGUCCCUUGGAACGGGGCGUCAUAGAGGGUGAGAAUCCCGUCUUUGACACGGACCGCCGGUGCUUUGUGAUGCGCUCUCAAAGAGUCGAGUUGUUUGGGAAUGCAGCUCAAAACGGGUGGUAAAUUCCAUCUAAAGCUAAAUAUUGGCGAAAGACCGAUAGCGAACAAGUACCGUGAGGGAAAGAUGAAAAGCACUUUGGAAAGAGAGUUAAACAGUACGUGAAAUUGUUGAAAGGGAAACGCUUGAAGUCAGUCGCGUCUCUCGGGACUCAGCCUUGCUUUUGCCUGGCGUACUUCCUGAGGUGACGGGCCAGCAUCGAUUUUGACCGUCGGAGAAAGGCCUUGGGAAUGUGGCACCUCCGGGUGUGUUAUAGCCCUGGGUCGCAUGCGACGGUUGGGAUCGAGGACCGCAGCACGCCUUUUUGGCCGGGGUUCGCCCACGUAACGUGCUUAGGAUGCUGGCGUAAUGGCUUUAAGCGACCCGUCUUGAAACACGGACCAAGGAGUCUAACAUGCCCGCGAGUGUUUGGGUGGAAAACCCGGACGCGUAAUGAAAGUGAAAUGUUGGGACCUCUGUCGCGGAGGGCACCGACGCCCGGACCAGACCUUCUGUGACGGCUCCGAGGUAGAGCGUGCAUGCUGGGACCCGAAAGAUGGUGAACUAUGCCUGAGUAGGGUGAAGCCAGAGGAAACUCUGGUGGAGGCUCGUAGCGAUUCUGACGUGCAAAUCGAUCGUCGAACUUGGGUAUAGGGGCGAAAGACUAAUCGA